rnacentral:rRNA from 1 species
UACGUAGGGUGCAAGCGUUGUCCGGAAUUAUUGGGCGUAAAGAGCUUGUAGGCGGUUUGUCGCGUCUGCUGUGAAAUUUCGGGGCUCAACCCCGAACUUGCAGUGGGUACGGGCAGACUAGAGUGUGGUAGGGGAGACUGGAAUUCCUGGUGUAGCGGUGAAAUGCGCAGAUAUCAGGAGGAACACCGAUGGCGAAGGCAGGUCUCUGGGCAUUAACUGACGCUGAGGAGCGAAAGCAUGGGGGAGCGAACAGG